rnacentral:rRNA from 1 species
AUUGAACGCUGGCGGCAGGCCUAACACAUGCAAGUCGAACGAGUGGCGGACGGGUGAGUAAUGUCUGGGAAACUGCCCGAUUGAGGGGGAUAACUACUGGAAACGGUAGCUAAUACCGCAUACCAUCGGAUGUGCCCAUAUGGGAUUAGCUUGUAGGUGAGGUAACGGCUCACCUAGGCGACGAUCCCUAGCUGGCCUGAGAGGAUGACCAGCCACACUGGAAGUGGGACACGGUGCAGACUCGUACGGGAGGAAGCAGUGGGGAAUAUUGCAAAAAUGGCGCAAGCCUGAUGCAGCCACGCCGCGUGUAUGAAGAAGGCCUUCGGGUUGUAAAGUACUUUCAGCGGGGAGGCGGUACCCGCAGAAGAAGCACCGGCGAACUCCGUGCCAGCAGCAGCGGUAAGUC